GUGGGGAAUUUUGGACAAUGGGCGCAAGCCUGAUGCAGCAACGCCGCGUGAGGGAUGACGGCCUUCGGGUUGUAAACCUCUUUUAGUAGGGAAGAAGCGUAAGUGACGGUACCUGCAGAAAAAGCACCGGCUAACUACGUGCCAGCAGCCGCGGUAAUACGUAGGGUGCAAGCGUUGUCCGGAAUUAUUGGGCGUAAAGAGCUCGUAGGCGGCUUGUCGCGUCUGCUGUGAAAACCCGAGGCUCAACCUCGGGCUUGCAGUGGGUACGGGCAGGCUAGAGUGCGGUAGGGGAGAUUGGAAUUCCUGGUGUAGCGGUGGAAUGCGCAGAUAUCAGGAGGAACACCGAUGGCGAAGGCAGAUCUCUGGGCCGUAACUGACGCUGAGGAGCGAAAGCAUGGGGAGCGAACAGGAUUAGAUACCCUAGUAGUCC
rnacentral:rRNA from 1 species